rnacentral:rRNA from 1 species
AUGUUGGAGUGGUUCGAAUGUGAGUGCGGGCAGUUUGCCCACAUGGGGAUGCUGUGUUGCCAUGCUUUAAAGGUGAUGGACUAUGUUGGCAUGAAAGAGAUAGCAAAACGGCACAUCCCUGAGAGGUGGACAAAAGAUGUCAGGGACAUCUUGCCGCAGCAUCUUGCUGCUAAUCGAUCUUUCACCUGCCGGAGCUUGACUCUCUACCUGCAGGCCAUGCAGCUCGUAAGGAUUGGGGACUCAUCAGUUGCAACCUACGAGCUCGGGCUAGGUCGGAUGAAGGAAAUAAUCAUGGAAGCAUCGCUGCUGGCUUAA